rnacentral:rRNA from 1 species
AUUGAACGCUGGCGGCAGGCCUAACACAUGCAAGUCGAACGAGUGGCGGACGGGUGAGUAAUGUCUGGGAAACUGCCUGAUGGAGGGGGAUAACUACUGGAAACGGUAGCUAAUCCCGCAUACCAUCGGAUGUUCCCAGAGGGGAUUAGCUAGUAGGUGGGGUAACGGCUCACCUAGGCGACGAUCCCUAGCUGGUCUGCUAGGAGGACCAGCCACACUGGAACUGAGACACGGCCCAGACUCCUACGGGAGGCAGCAGUGGGGAAUAUUGCACAAGGGGCGCAAGCCUGAUGCAGCCAUGCCGCGUGUAUGAAGAAGGCCUUCGGGUUGGAAAGUACUUUCAGCGGUGAGGCGUUACCCGCAGAAGAAGCACCGGCUAACUCCGUGCCAGCCGCCGCGGUAAUAC